AAACACUAUUCUGUAUAAGAUUUAGUUAAUUUUUGAGAAUCACUACUAUAGAAGAUCAAAAAUCUUACUGAAAUUUGUAAUAGAACACUAAAAAGACACAAGCCAUCAGCAUGGAUUUUCUUGUCUUGUUUUCUUUCAGCAGAGGAUCAGUUCCUUUGAUGUUAAAACUCCUUUUGAGUUUCAGAGAGCCACUGAAAUUACCUACAAUAAAGCACUGUUUUGCCCUCUUGUUCAGAAACAUAAACCUAGAUCUCCAAGAACAUUUAUUUCAGGAGCCUAUGAGAUGACAGAAUAAGAUAAUAGCUGAGGUUGGAAAUGACCUCUGGAAGGCAUCUGGUACAAGCCUCAUGCUUGGACAGACACACGUGCAGCAACGUGAAUAGCACAACUGAAUAGCACAUCCAGACAAAUUUUGAGAACUUCCAGAGAUGAAGACUCCAUUAAAUCUCUGAGCAAUCUUGUUAAACUCUGUUAAAAGUAUGUUUUCUGAUGAUCAAAUGGAACUUCCCAUGUUUCAGUUUGUGAUCACUGAAUCUUGUGUUGUCACUGGGUAUCUCUGAAAAGAGCAUGACUGUUUUCCAUGUGCCCCCCCUUCAGAUAUCUAUAACUGAGAGCUGCUCCAGUUCUGUCUCCUAUUUUAUUAUGUUGGCCCACUACAUUUGAAUAAGAUGUUGAUAGCAUGGCAGUAGAUGUUGAAUUUGCCAACCAGUAUUCCAUUAAAUUUUCUUGGUGUGCAAUAGAUGGCAAAAGAGGGGCGGUCAGACAAAAUUGUACCUGACAUGGAAGUAUGUAUGAAGCCAAGGUGUGGAAUUGAAUUCCUCUGUCUAGAAGAAAAUUUACCUUUUGACAUUCAUUGAUGCAAUGUUUCUGGGGACCAAGUACAGUGAGGUGGUGUGUGGUGUGUUUCAGCAAUGGCAACAGCAAUGUGAAAGACAAACCACAUUCUGAACAGCUAUGCUGAUAUUAUGUGCACAAUAUGGAGUCCCUUGUUCACUGCUGGCAAAAAUUUGUAACUAACAGUAGUGAACAUUUAUUCAACAUUUUGCUGUGCCAAAUAGUGUAAUUAUGCUAUAGCAAAGAACAUAAUUUACUCUACCAAAUAAUGUUAUUGUGCUGUUUGUAUCUGCUGUUGUUUUCAUAGGAAUAAAUAGGAGGGAUUACUUCCA
rnacentral:lncRNA from 1 species